UACGGAGGGUGCAAGCGUUAUCCGGAUUCACUGGGUUUAAAGGGUGCGUAGGUGGGGCUGUAAGUCAGUGGUGAAAUCUCCAAGCUUAACUUGGAAACUGCCGUUGAUACUAUAGCUCUUGAAUGUUGUGGAGGUGAGCGGAAUAUGUCAUGUAGCGGUGAAAUGCUUAGGUAUGACAUAGAACACCAAUUGCGAAGGUAGCUCACUACACAAAUAUUGACACUGAGGCACGAAAGCGUGGGGAUCAAACAGG
rnacentral:rRNA from 1 species